UGCAACUCGCCUACAUGAAGUUGGAAUCGCUAGUAAUCGCGAAUCAGAAUGUCGCGGUGAAUACGUUCCUGGGUCUUGUACACACCGCCCGUCACACCACGAGAGUUUACAACACCCGAAGUCAGUGGCCUAACCGCAAGGAGGGAGCUGCCUAAGGUGGGGUAGAUGAUUGGGGUGAAGUCGUAACAAGGUAAC
rnacentral:rRNA from 1 species